GAUGAACGCUGGCGGCGUGCCUAAUACAUGCAAGUCGAGCGAACGGACGAGAAGCUUGCUUCUCUGAUGUUAGCGGCGGACGGGUGAGUAACACGUGGAUAACCUACCUAUAAGACUGGGAUAACUUCGGGAAACCGGAGCUAAUACCGGAUAAUAUUUUGAACCGCAUGGUUCAAAAGUGAAAGACGGUCUUGCUGUCACUUAUAGAUGGAUCCGCGCUGCAUUAGCUAGUUGGUAAGGUAACGGCUUACCAAGGCAACGAUGCAUAGCCGACCUGAGAGGGUGAUCGGCCACAAUGGAACUGAGACACGGUCCAGAAUCCUAAGGGAGGCAGCAGUAGGGAAUCUUCCGCAAUGGGCGAAAGCCUGACGGAGCAACGCCGCGUGAGUGAUGAAGGUCUUCGGAUCGUAAAACUCUGUUAUUAGGGAAGAACAUAUGUGUAAGUAACUGUGCACAUCUUGACGGUACCUAAUCAGAAAGCCACGGCUAACUACGUG
rnacentral:rRNA from 1 species